rnacentral:rRNA from 1 species
AACGAACGCUGGCGGCAUGCCUAACACAUGCAAGUCGAACGAAGUCUUCGGACUUAGUUGCGCACGGGUGCGUAACGCGUGGGAAUCUGCCCUUGGGUACGGAAUAACUCAGAGAAAUUUGUGCUAAUACCGUAUAAUGUCUUCGGACCAAAGAUUUAUCGCCCAAGGAUGAGCCCGCGUAAGAUUAGCUAGUUGGUGGGGUAAAAGCCUACCAAGGCGACGAUCUUUAGCUGGUCUGAGAGGAUGAUCAGCCACACUGGGACUGAGACACGGCCCAGACUCCUACGGGAGGCAGCAGUGGGGAAUAUUGGACAAUGGGCGAAAGCCUGAUCCAGCAAUGCCGCGUGAGUGAUGAAGGCCCUAGGGUUGUAAAGCUCUUUUACCAGGGAUGAUAAUGACAGUACCUGGAGAAUAAGCUCCGGCUAACUCCGUG